UGUCUGUUUUAAUACCCAUAUUGUAUGCUCGGACGGGAGGCCAGUACAUAUAUUUACUAAUUAUUUCCCGGUGUGGAGGCAUACCGAUGCACGGCACAACAUGGAGUCGACAUGGAGUUAAACAGCCAUAUAAAGCAAUAUUAGCUGAUGUAUCCUUCAGCUUAGUAUCUUAUCUACAGACUUUGUCAGUAUUUCCUGUGAGAUUACUGUUCGAUACCUGGAGAAAUUAAACAAUUCACUAUUAUUGAUGUG